UAUCUCUGUAGAGUCUGCAUAUCAAUAAGCGGAGGAAAAGAAACUAACAAGGAUUCCCUCAGUAACGGCGAGUGAAGCGGGAAGAGCUCAAAUUUGAAAUCUUCAAGGUUCUACCUUGACGAAUUGUAGUUUAAAGAAGUGUUUUCUGUUGAGUUUUGGUAAAAGUUCUUUGGAAUAGGACAUCAUAGAGGGUGAGAAUCCCGUAUUUGACCAUUAUUUCCAGCUGUGUGAUACACUUUCAAAGAGUCGGAUUGUUUGGGAAUGCAGUCCAAAAUGGGUGGUAAAUUUCAUCUAAAGCUAAAUACUGGCGAGAGACCGAUAGCGAACAAGUACCGUGAGGGAAAGAUGAAAAGAACUUUGAAAAGAGAGUUAAACAGUACGUGAAAUUGUCAAAAGGGAAGCGUUUGACACCAGUGUUGUUUUCUCGAAAAUCAAUUAAAAAAGGCAGGAUUUUGUGUUGUAUUGACUUUAUCAGCUUUCUGCACUCUUUUCUUGUCUUUUUUAAUGCACUUUUCGUUUAACAAGUCAACAUCAGUUUCUUUUGUUGUAAAAAGGUCAUUGGAAGGUGGCUUUCUUUUCGGAGAAAGUGUUUAUAGCCUUUGACUUCUGCAAUCGGAGAGACUGAGGUCUGCAGCGUAGAUCCUUCUGGAUUAGAUUCAUUUGUGCUAAGUUACAACCGUUUAUAGACAACUUGUUGACUAUAUUCGAUCCUGUUAGCUUACUCGCUUAUGUAAUUUUACCUACGCUUAGGAUGUUGAUAGUCACAGCGUGUAC
rnacentral:rRNA from 1 species